GACGAACGCUGACGGUGUGCUUAACACAUGCAAGUCGAACGGUAAGGCCCUUUCGGGGGUACACGAGUGGCGAACGGGUGAGUAACACGUGAGUAACCUGCCCUCAUCUCUGGGAUAACAGUCGGAAACGGUUGCUAGUACUGGAUAUGAGCUUGCAAGGCAUCUUGUGGGUUGGAAAGAUUUUUUUUGGUUGGGGAUGGACUCGCGGCCUAUCAGCUUGUUGGUGAGGUAGUGGCUCACCAAGGCUUCGACGGGUAGCCGGCCUGAGAGGGCGACCGGCCACAUUGGGACUGAGAUACGGCCCAAACUCCUACGGGAGGCAGCAGUGGGGAAUAUUGCACAAUGGACGGAAGUCUGAUGCAGCAACGCCGCGUGCGGGAUGACGGCCUUCGGGUUGUAAACCGCUUUCAAUUGUGACGAAGCUUUUUUGUGGCGGUAGCAGUAGAAGAAGCACCGGCUAACUACGUG
rnacentral:rRNA from 1 species